CUUCCGAGUAUAACUAACCUACCGUCCGUAAAUUCGCACUGCUAUCCUCUUUCCCAAAGCCAGAGAGCCGAAGACGGAAGAGCACGCCGAGCCCCUCCGCCCCUCCCAGGAUUUUGAUAGGAAGGUCCGAUUUAUGGCGGAUCGGGGCACUGCGGUCACGAAACCCUUAUGGAUGAAGCAGGCGGAGGAGGUCAAGCUCAAGAGCGAGGCCGAGAAGGCUGCCGCCGCGAAGGCCGCCUUCGAGGCCACCUUCAAGAGCGUGGAGAAGCCCAAGGAGAAGGACGACUCCUCCGACAGUGACGGGGACGAGCGCGAGGACCUCGCCAGCAAGCCCCUCGGCCCUGUCGACCCCGCCAAGUGCUCCGCCGCAGGCGCCGGGAUCGCCGGAGGUACCGCCUGCGCCCCCUCCACCUUCACUGUGGUCACCAAGGACUCUGACGGCCGGAAGAUCCCCACGGGGGGCGCCCAGCUCAAGGUGAAGAUCUCCCCUGGCGUGGGGGUCGGCGGAUCCGAUCAGGAGGGGAUCGUUAAGGAUCAGGGGGAUGGGGCGUACACCGUGACCUACGCCGUGCCCAAGCGCGGGAACUACAUGGUCUAUGUGGACUGCAACGGGAAGCCAAUCAUGGGAAGCCCGUUCCCGGUGUUCUUCAGCUCUGGAACGACCAUGGGGACCACGAGCUUGCCGGCUGCUGUGAGCUCGUUCUCCAAUAUGGUCAACCAAACAAUGCCCAAUAUGCCCAAUUACUCAGGUGCAGUAUCCGGGGCGUUCCCGGGGCUUUUCGGGAUGAUCCCUGGUGUCGCCCCGGGUGCUUCUGGUGGAGUGGUGUUGCAGGGAAGUGGGGCAUCGCUGGGAGAGGUUUGUCGGGAGUACUUAUACGGGCGGUGCGCUAAGACUGAUUGCAGGUUCAACCACCCACCUCAAAAUUUGUUGAUGUCCAUGCUGGCUGCGACGACCACGAUGGGGACCUUAAGUCAGGCACCGAUGGCCCCUUCAGCAGCUGCAAUGGCUGCUGCUCAGGCAAUUGUUGCUGCCAAGGCCCUUCAGGCGCAUGCUGCCCAGAUGCAAGCGCAGUCAUCUGCAGAUGCACCUGGUUCACCUGACAAGGCUGCCAAGGCUGAUACUCUGAAGAAAACUCUACAAGUUAGCAAUCUUAGCCCCCUUCUUACCAUGGAUCAACUUAAACAGCUGUUUGGUUACUGUGGUACUGUUGUUGAUUGUUUCAUCACAGAUUCCAAACAUUUUGCUUAUAUAGAAUACUCUAAGCCAGAAGAAGCAACUGUGGCUUUGGCACUGAACAACAUGGAUGUUGGUGGCCAUCGAUUGAAUGUUGAAAUGGCAAAGUCCCUACCUUCCAAAACUGCUCUUGUCAACCCUUUGUUACCAUUGACGAUGCAGCAAGCAGUUGCUAUGCAACAGAUGCAAUUUCAACAUGCCUUGAUGAUGCAACAAGCAAUAGCCUCUCAGCAGGCUGCUGCGCGAGCAGCAACAAUGAAAUCUGCAACAGAGAUGGCAGCAGCCAGAGCUGCUGAAAUAAGCAAAAAAUUGAAAGCAGAGGGCUUUGGUAGCGAGGAUAAGGAAGUUAACAGAAAAUCCAGGUCACCAUCUUCCUCUUGCCAGAGAUCCCAGUCUCGGUCAAGGUCACCUAUCAAGUAUCGUAGAAGCAGGCGGUCUCGCUCUUUUUCACCAAGAAGAUGCUCCCGAGAUCGAAGGUCAAGAUCACCAAUAAGAUCACAUCAUUCAAAUCAUGGCACUGAAAGAUCAUACAGAGUUGAUCGGGACAACUAUGGCAGGAGUGGAAGGCAAGAAAGAGAAAGAUCUCAUGAUCGUUAUUCCUCUCAUUCAAGAAGACACCAAAGGAGGAGCUCAAGUCCUCAAUUGAGAAAAUCAUAUCGAGCUACUCCGACAUCACCAAAGCGUCGUAGAGAAAUUCCAAGUCCCAGAACAAAGAGAUCAUCUCGAGCUGGUUCAAGGUCACCAAGGCAUCACAGAGGAAGCAGAUCAUCUCCUGUACGUGACCAUCGGUCCUCUCACUCUAGUAGGCACUCCAGAUCAAGAUCUGCUGAGAAAAGGCAUCAUUAUGAAAAAGGAGAUACAAAGAAAUCUGAAAGGCGGAAGGAGAAUAUUAAAAGAUCUGAUGGAAGUAAUGCAACUAAUAAAAAUGCAAAAGGUACAAGCGAACCAAAGGAAGAUAAUACUACUGAUUCUUCUGUAGUCAGUCAUAAGAGGGUGUCCUUAUUAAAUGAGGAAACCUUGAAAAAUGAGAGCGGCAUUAGGGAACAUAAAAAGUCUAAACUGGAUGACCAAGGUUCUGAGAGAAUUGAUUCUAUGGCAAAGGAUGAAAAUCUCAUUGUGGAAGACUUGGAGACCAGUGAAGUUAAGAGGUUUUGUUCUACGACAUCAAAAUCACAUAGAAGUUCUGCCAGUAAUGAUGAUGAUAAUCAUGCUGAAAAUCUGGAUUUGAGCAGGCAUAGGAAAUCAAGAACAAAUUAAGAAACAUGGCAGAAGAGAAUGUGCUUCUAGGGAAAGGGAAUCUGCAACUGGAGAAUCUAAACACUCGAGGGAUGAUAGGGCUUCACCUCAUUCAAGUUUGAGAUCUCACAGAAGUUCACGCCAUUUGGGAGAAAAGUCCUCCAGGGAUAAAGUAGAUCAGCACAAACUGAAGAAACCAAAAUACAAGUAUGAAAAGCCUCAAGAAAAAUAUGAUGUCAUCAAAGAGUCUAGAACUUCAGAUAGAAGGCCAGAAAACGUUGAGGGUUCUCAAGAGCUGAAGCCUGAUGUGUCAGGUUCAAGUUCAAUUGAAGGUGGAGUGCAGAAGGAAUCAGGGAUCAAAUGGGAGAUAAAAUGUUAGAACGGGAUAAUAGGCAUUUGGAGAGCAGUGACCCUAUGGCCAACAAACAAGAUCAUGUUGAUGGUAAUUUUGAUGGACUGAAGGAAGAUUUUAGUGUCCAUAAUUUGAAGACCCACAAGCAAAGCCCAGCAUCAGAGGGCCAUGGGAAAAUUAUAAUAGGCAGAACAGAUAAUAGCGAAGGGAAAAACUUAGAGCUGGAGCCAGGGAAGGUGGAAAAUUAUGAGUCCAUUGAGAAUAAAAAACACCGUCAAGCAGAAGCAGCUGAUCUGAUCAACAGGUAUCAGGAUGGUAAUGGUAAUGGAUCAACAUCCCUUGAAGCAUUACUUUUUGAGGUGCAUCACUUUUUGACAUAGUCUAUAGUGUUAUUUGUUGAAUUUGCAGGGAAUAUUUACACUGUUUUUAUUGAGUGUGUUGGCUUCCAUUUGUGGUGAUUCCAGUUUCUUCUUUUUUUUUCCCCCUUUCUUUUCUUUUGCUUCCCCCCUUUUUAUUUCUGAGUAACAGGCUGCUGUAUUAAGAGUCAGUAUAAGUGAUCAGCAUGAAAUAACUGUUGGUUGUCUGAGCAAUCACAUCCUUGAGGGUCAGCAUGGCAUCUGCUUGGACUGCUUGAUUUGUAUUUCAAUAUAAGCAGUGUGUUAAAAGUGGAUUAUCAAUGGAGCAUUUCUCAGAGCAAGUUGUCUAGGUUUUGCCUCUAAUGCAGGAAAGGUAUGCAGAUAAAGCUUGAUAAUUGUCAACUUGAAUGAUUUUCCAGAACAUUUUUGGAAAGCUUGUGAACUCAAAUGAGUUUCAGGAAUGUGUUUCAACCAUACUAGAAUGAUUAUAAAAUCAUGAUCUAUUUUGUCUCCUUUACACCUGGUCUUUUUUCUUUUGGUGUUUUUCGGUUCUGGUUAGAUAAGCUGCAUAUAUAGUGGAAUAUAUGAACAACAGUGCUGGGUCAAACUUAAAAACUGUGGGCUCACCAUGCGACCCUGAUCAGACCGGUUGAAUCCAAUUUCUUUUCCCUUGUUAGCCUCUGUUAUUUCAAGAGAUUAUCGAAAUAUAUUUGAUAUAUCAGUUAACUGCUCAUUUUAUCAAAUAAAGUUUUACUUUGCUAUCAAAAAUUUUGAAAAAUAGGGUUUUCUACAUUUGUAUUUCCUUACAUUGUUUGCUAGCUAUGAUUUUACAUAUUUUUUCUCUGUUCAACCGCAAUGAGUUCAAUACUUAUGAAAAUAGUAGAACUAAUAGUAAAUCAUAGUAUUAAUAAUGGUAACUAUAAUAAUGAAGAUUUCUGUUUAGCAAUGGAGUGAAUGUUCUGUUUCAAAUUUCAAUGAAGAUGAACAUCUGUGAAACAGAACAAAGCUUUUUAACAAUAGAGUGAAUUUUGCUGCUCUUAGCCGUUUGUUUGAUCACAUAGAAAUGUGUGUUAUGAAAUAUAUUGUUAACAAGUUCUGUUUUUUUCUUGGCUUUUUCCCCUUUUUUUUUUGUCCUUUUAAACUAGGAUCUGCUUCACUUGUAUAGAGAGGGUAAGAUGCAGAGUUGACAAUUCUUCUCCAGAUAGUGCCUAAAAAUUGCUCGACAGUCAGCAUCCCUUGAUAUGUGCUGCAUUGGCCCAAAAGCAAUGCCUAUUUUUCUGGCUAUUUUUUCAUUUGCUUUCAUAGGGUAAUAUCAUGGAUUGGUUGGAUUAAGCACGCACUGUUAUGCAAGCUACGAUUUUUGUCCUAGCGUUCAGCAACAAUCAGUGUUUGAAUGAUGGCGCAAGUUGCUUUCUUAUAUCUUUUUUCUGUCAAUUGUCGUUUUCUGCUCAAAAUUGUCUAUUCUUUUAGGUGCUUUAUCAUAUCAGAUUUAAACAUGAACUGAUUUCGUGGAAAAAGAAGCCAUGUAAGAAUGUGAAUCACUUCCAUCUUUGACCAUCUUAUGUUAGAACAUUUAGCCAAAUCAUGAUCUAGAACCUUUGUUUCGAUGUUAUUUAAUGAUCUAUCCGAGAAUAUGCUGUCGUUGACUAAUUUAAUAUAUGCAUCCUAGUGCAUGCCAAAUUUACUUUGGUUCGGACAUAUCCUCUGAGAACCAAUGGAUCCAUUUCCAUUUACAAUAUCUGGUUCUGCAUGAUCUGUAAUUACCCGUGGACAUCUAUGUAUUUUAGAAGCUGUUUGACUUUAUGGUGUACCUAUUGGUUGGCCUCUUAGAUGCAUAAUCCUGAGAAGUCAAAAUAAUUUCAGUUGUAGAGAAUUCAAUAAUUAUGCAUGAAUUUUUUACUCAGAAAAUGAAUCUUGUGCAACCAAAAAUUGAAUUCUCCAGGUAUAACGGAACAGCCAAAGUGGUAAACAAUUAUAAAUUUAAUCCUAAUGUUUGAUGUUCAUUUUGAUGAUUUUGAGUUUCUACAUUACUACUGCCUCUCCCUGAUUGCUGCUUUUCUGUGCACUGUCAUAGCGACUUAUUCUCCUUUUUUUUUCUGAUUAUUUUACUGAUUUUUAAUUUUGUUGAGGUCACAAUUCUCUCGAAUCUUCCAAAUUUCUUUUGUGAGCUUAGCAAUUUCUUGAAUAAUUGCUGAGCACAAACUCUGUUACUGGUCUUCAAUUGCAUUAUAUUUAUCCCUGAAGCAGUAAAGCGUGUGUGUAUAUAUAUAUAUAUAUAUAUAUAUAUAUAUAUAUAUAUAUAUAUAUAUGCUGAAUGACCAAAUGGCCCAACUAUCAUAGCUGUUUGUUUCCAUUCUUCGGCCCUCCCUGAUUUUUUAUUUUUUUUUAUAUACUGAGUUGUUGAUUGCGGUUUGAAACUGUUAUCCGUUAGGCUAUUUAUACAAGAUUAUUUGUUCUGCACUGAUAAGCUGGUAAUGUUUUGCUAGUCUUUCUGCCUUAGGCUUAUCUAAUUAUAUAUGAUUUCACGUUCGGAUGUGAUAACCCUUUAACUACUAUUGUGGAGCUGUGGGUUUGCAACUCGUCAGAGGUGGUAUGAUUUGAUUCCUCCUAGCAACUCGAGUGAGAUGAAGGGGAAGAUACGGGCUUGGGGCUUAUGAGUAAUACCGAGGCAAGGAGUAAAGAGGACUGUGACAUCACAAUAACUCAUAGUGUAAUUGCUUGGUGCGGUUCUUGGUGAAAAAAAGAUGUAAAAAUAAUAAUUAAUGUAAUUAAUAUGAUAGAAUAAAAUUCUACUAA